AAUCAACGCUGGCGGCGUGCCUAACACAUGCAAGUCGCACGAGAAAGUGGGAGCAAUCCAUGAGUAAAGUGGCGCACGGGUGAGUAACACGUGAAUAAUCUACCUCCGAGUGGGGGAAUAACUGAGAGAAAUCUUAGCUAAUACCGCAUAAUACCCACGGGUCAAAGCAGCAAUGCGCUUGGAGAGGAGUUCGCGGCCGAUUAGCUAGUUGGG
rnacentral:rRNA from 1 species